rnacentral:rRNA from 1 species
UACGAGGGGAGCAAGCGUUGUUCGGAUUUACUGGGCGUAAAGGGCGCGUAGGCGGUCGUGACAAGUCACUUGUGAAAUCUCCGGGCUUAACUCGGAACGGUCAAGUGAUACUGUCGGACUAGAGUACAGAAGGGGCAACUGGAAUUCUCGGUGUAGCGGUGAAAUGCGCAGAUAUCGGGAGGAACACCAGUGGCGAAGGCGACUUCCUGGCCUGUUCUUGACGCUGAGGCGCGAAAGCUAGGGGAGCAAACGGG